UUAUACGCUCAUAUUGUAUUGAAUGCUCCUGAUCCCGUCCAAUCUCCUAAGUGAAUCAGUUGCGAACCUUUUUUGUACUUGGAUGGGAGACGUUCUGGGAACCGUUAGUGGCGUAAGUC
rnacentral:rRNA from 1 species